UGUCUUUGGUGUGUUUGUUUUCGUUUUAUAAAGCGGUGAAUGUGGAUGUUCAGCUGUUGCCACUAGUAAUACUACAGAUAUUGAGGAAGGAAAUCUUGCUAACCAUUAGUAAAUAUUUUCAAAAUAGAAAUGCAGCCUAUGCAACCAAUGCAACCACAGAUGCCAGGAGCUAUGUCCCAGAUGGGACCACAGCAGCCUGGGAAUCCACAAGUAGUACAGCAAAUACCCCAAUCUCUGACACAACCCCAGGAAAGGCUAGAUAAUAUUUCCAAAGUGAAAAUGUUAAUCGGUCCUCUAAGAGAUUCACUUUCGCUCACAAUAAAGAGUGCAGCACAAAUUCUUCAUCAGAAUUAUUUGGUGGAUGUUGGGCCACAGAAAGCUGUGGAUGUUCAGCCCCCAAGAUUUGAUAAGAGUAUAGAAGAAUUUUAUUCCAUAUGUGAUCAGAUGGAACUCCACUUGAAGACAUCAAUAGAAUGCCUAAACCAGCUGUCCAGUAGCCAGCGAUACCUUCCCUUACCAGUGGCUACGGCACGAACAGAGCCUUUGCCAGCACAGGAUGUUGGCUCCCUAACAUAUCCACAGUAUCUGGCAACCGUGCGAGCUCAAGUUGGUUAUACAAAGGAAAUCCAUGAUGUUCUUCUGGCUGCUGCACAGAAUCUUGAUUUCUGAAGAAGAAAACUAUUUCAAGACUUGCAGAAAAUGGUGAUAAUUCUGUUGUAUAAUUUCAAAGAUCUUGUGAGAUCCAGAUAUUGGUUCUGCAUUACUUCAUUUAUACCUGUUGCAAUACUGAGCAACAAAAUGAGAUGCAGCAGAAACCAAUAAAUUAGACUAACAUCACCGUACUCAGCAUUCCAUCGUUCAUAAGCUGACAAACUCAAAGGAGAAACACUGCGGCGAAUCCUCUUCAGAGAGUCAACAAAGUCUUGAAAAUUUAUGUUCCGUACACUGUUAGGGUCCAUACACCGGACUUGCUCAGGGUUAAGUUCUGAAAUAAAGGUAUUGCACAAUUUAGUUAUUUUUCUAAGUUACCACAAUUCAUUCCUUAUCAGUAGUUGUAAGAAUUCUUCCAACAUUCGGGCAACAUUGUAGUUACUACAUUUUGGCACUUUGGAUAACUCUCAUUCUGUUACCUAUUUUAAUCUUUUAUAGUCCCAUAACAAAAUUGCACAAUCUGUAAGAUACAUAUCCAGUGAAACUUCCUGGCAGAUUAAAACUGUAUGCUAGACAGAGACUCGAACUCAGGACUUACCUUUCGCUGGCAGCAGGCCAGUACUGGCAAGUAAAGCUGUGAGGAUGGGUCAUGAGUCGUACUUGGGUAGCUCAAUUGGUAGAGCACUUGCCUGCAGAAGGCAAAGGUC